UGCAAACUUUCAUAAAAAUCGGUCAAGUCGUUUCGGAGGAGUAUGGCAACAAACACUGUAAAAAGAGCAUUUUAUACAUAUAGCUGUAAAAAUUUUGGUGGCUACUAAAAUCACAAUAUAAAACCGUAUAAACCUUCCCUGAACUUCCACAAAUAAUUCAACAUCAAAAUUAGCCAAAUCGGUCCACACAUUCUCGAGUUUUAGCGAGACUAACGCACAGCAAUAGAUUUUUAUAUAUAAGAUGCAAAACUUUAGAUGGCUAUUAAAAAAUAACGAUAGAAAAGUGAAAAUUUAGGGUUGUAUUUACCUUUGCCUUCCACAUCACAUAAAAUUAAGAAAAAACAGUUUGAUCAAAAAAAUAAAAAAAUAUUUUAGGGGGGCAGCCCCCGUUACGACGUACGGAUAUGAAAAAUACAUAACAACCUAUUCUCGGUCCGGUCAAAUACACGUGGAAAAUUUCAUAAAAAUCUAUUCAGUCGUUCUCGAGUUAUGUGUUGGUAACUGUCACGACUUUCUUUUGUUUAUAUAGAUGUAAAAUAUUUAAAUGGCCAUUAAAAAAUAACGGUUAGUGAUAGAAAAGUGAAAAUUUAGGGUUGUAUGUAUCUUUACGUUCCACAUCAUAUGCAAUUAAAAAAAAAGAGUUUGUCUGAAAAAAUAGAAAUAAAUAUAAGGGUGGCAAGCCCCCUUAAGACGCACGGGUAUGAAAUAUAGAUAACGACCUACUCCCGGUCCGGUCGAGUACACUUGCAAACUUUCAUAAAAAUCGGUCAAGUCGUUUCGGAGGAGUAUGGCAACAAACACUGUAAAAAGAGCAUUUUAUACAUAUAGCUGUAAAAAUUUUGGUGGCUACUAAAAUGACAAUAUAAAACCGUAUAAACCUUCCCUGAACUUCCACAAAUAAUUCAACAUCAAAAUUAGCCAAAUCGGUCCACACAUUCUCGAGUUUUAGCGAGACUAACGCACAGCAAUAGAUUUUUAUAUAUAAGAUGCAAAACUUUAGAUGGCUAUUAAAAAAUAACGGUCGAAGAUAGAAAAGUGAAAAUUUAGGGUUGUAUUUACCUUUGCCUUCCACAUCACAUAAAAUUAAGAAAAAACAGUUUGAUCAAAAAAAUAAAAAAAUAUUUUAGGGGGGCAGCCCCCGUUACGACGUACGGAUAUGAAAAAUACAUAACAACCUAUUCUCGGUCCGGUCAAAUACACGUGGAAAAUUUCAUAAAAAUCUAUUCAGUCGUUCUCGAGUUAUGUGUUGGUAACUGUCACGACUUUCUUUUGUUUAUAUAGAUGUAAAAUAUUUAAAUGGCCAUUAAAAAAUAACGGUUAGUGAUAGAAAAGUGAAAAUUUAGGGUUUUAUGUAUCUUUAAGUUCCACAUCGUAUGCAAUUAAAAAAAAGAGUUUGUCUGAAAAAAUAGAAAUAAAUAUAAGGGUGGCAAGCCCCCUUAAGACGCACGGGUAUGAAAUAUAGAUAACGACCUACUCCCGGUCCGGUCGAGUACACUUGCAAACUUUCAUAAAAAUCGGUCAAGUCGUUUCGGAGGAGUAUGGCAACAAACACUGUAAAAAGAGCAUUUUAUACAUAUAGCUGUAAAAAUUUUACAAGAAUCUACAGGUCGAGCAAGUCUCGUAAAUUUCACGAUUGCGAGCCACGCUUCACGCAACCGUGUUUGCGUACUUGUGUUUCGAGUUGCGUGGUCGUGCGGAGUUAUAUUUACCAAAUUUAAAUGUAAUCCUUUCUACUGAUAAUAAUAUAGUCAAUAUGGCUACUGGGUGUAUAAAAGAUAAAUCUUAUUCUAUCUGUUCUUCAUGAGUUUUAGAUAAUUUUAGUUGUAUUUCUUUGUAAUUUUGUGUUGUACAAAGAUUAAUUUAACAUUUUCUCUGGAAGUAUUAAUUUAGAAAGAUAAUAUGCUUCAUUGGUGUUGUGUUUUGAAGUGUGAAAUGCAAAGUAAUUGUGAUAAAGUCAAGAUAAAGUUCACUUUUAAACUGAACUAAAUAAGGUAUCUGAGAGACAACAAUGGUUAAAUGCAAUACAAUGUACAGGUUUUACUAGCGAAAUGAAAAUUUUCCUGUCCUGUCUGCUGUAAUCAUUUUAUAUCUGGAAAACCAGCAGACUUAAUCGAUAAUAACAAUCUCCAGAUUGGGUUCCUUCAAUAAAUAUGGGCUAUAAACACAAUGAAAUAAGUUCCCCAAAAUCUAAAAUGGAGUGGUAUCAAAGGAGAAUUAAAGGAAAAAAUAUUCAUAUUGAAAUUAUUUAUAAGGCACUGGACUGUCUUAAAUUCUACAAUAAUACUAGAAUCAGCUGAGAGAAGUGGUCUACAAAAAACCAGGAAGGAAACGGAAUAUGUGGCUACGAAAGGCAAAAGAAAGGUUUACAAAGCAAAUGUGACACAUUUUUUUGAAAUAUUUAGGAAUAUCAGUAAAUUGCAUUAAAAAAUGUAUGAAAAGAUUUUGUUCAAUAAAAAUGUUUAUAUUUA